rnacentral:rRNA from 1 species
UACGGAAGGCAGCAGUGGGGAAUAUUGCACAAUGGGCGCAAGCCUGAUGCAGCCAUGCCGCGUGUAUGAAGAAGGCCUUCGGGUUGUAAAGUACUUUCAGUCGUGAGGAAGGUGUUAAGGUUAAUAACCUUAGCAAUUGACGUUAGCGACAGAAGAAGCACCGGCUAACUCCGUGCCAGCAGCCGCGGUAAUACGGAGGGUGCGAGCGUUAAUCGGAAUUACUGGGCGUAAAGGGCACGCAGGCGGUUAAUUAAGUUGGAUGUGAAAUCCCCGGGCUUAACCUGGGAAUGGCAUUCAAGACUGGUUAGCUAGAGUCUUGUAGAGGGGGUAGAAUUCCAUGUGUAGCGGUGAAAUGCGUAGAGAUGUGGAGGAAUACCGGUGGCGAAGGCGGCCCCUGGGACAAAGACUGACGCUCAUGUGCGAAAGCGUGGGGAGCAAACAGGGAUUUAGAUACC